rnacentral:lncRNA from 1 species
CGUAGGUUUCAGGAUCCUGUCACCCAUAAUCAGAAGAUUCCCAGAUGAUAAAAUGUCUCAGAGAUACCUCGGGGGUGCCUGGGCAGUUCAGUUGGUUGGGUGUCCAACUCGAUUUCAGCUGAGGUCAUGAUCUUGGGGUUAUGGGAUCGAGCCCCGAGUUAUGCUCCGCACUCAGUGGGGAGUCUGCUUGAGAUUCUGCCUCUCCCUUUGCGCCUCUGCCCCCUCCCCCUGAAAUAAAUAAGUCUUUUUUAAAAAAAUGUGUCAUCCAAGAUACUUUGGAUUCAUUUUGCCCAAACCCAGUUUGAUUAUCAUACCCUCACCUUUCCCACAGACCUGCCCCUCUCCCUACAUUCUGUUUCACCGUUAAAAUCAUAACUCAAUGGUUCCAGCUGAGAACCUUGGAAUCUUCUUCACCUUCCCUUAUCGCUGUAGAGACUGGAAUGACCUGUGCCCAUGGCUUGACUCUACAGAACCAGAGGAGAACCUUCGACUGUAUUUACAAAGGUGGAGGAGGCUCAGAGGUCACCCACUGAAGCACCAUGUUCCUAUAGGUGACAUGGGUCACUCGUACAAGUGCCAGAACUUGUUGAAUAUGCCAAGAGAGCAGCAGCAGCAAGAGGAAAACUAUAUGUAAGCAACUUGAAACUUCACGUGACAAUCCUUCCUGAAAUUAUAAGGAUAGAGACACAAAGUCCUUCAUUCUUUAAGGAAAAUCUCAGAGCAGCAAGUUGCUUGGGAAAGUUGCCAGUAGUUUCUCUACAAGUAUGGAAGAACCACUACUGUAGACUGGGAAAAUGGCCACAACCAUUCAUGCUCCUUAUAUCCACGCCCUUUGCAGGUGACUUUGCAGGUCUCUUCUGAGAAGUGGAGACUUUCCUCUACACUUUGAUUCUGAGCUGGUCUGGAAGGAGGCAGGCGUGAGGUUGUAUUACUUCCUAGCUUCCGACUCGAGACCUUGUGUGCCUCUGCUCACACUCUCAGACUCCCACGGCCUCCACGAGUAAGUGCAGACUAGCCUCCUGGUAGAUGAGAGGCCACAUGCAGCAGAGCUGGUCAGCGGCUCCAUCUCAGCCAAGAUCAAAGACACGUGAAAGAAAUCUUUGAGCUCAGCAAAGCCAGGCAUCCUCAGACCUCCUAUAAUCCCCCAGCUCACGGCAGUAGGCACAUAACUGAGGCCACCUUAAAGCAGGGGGACCCGACACUGACUCCAUGACUUAUAAAUGUGUGUCAUUUUCAAGAAACAAAACUUCAGGGCGCUUGUGUGGCCUCAGGGGUUUGGGCAUCUGCCUUUGGCUUGGGUCAUGAUCCUGGGGUCCUGGGAUCAAGUCCCACAUGGGGCUCCCUGCUCCUCAGGGUGUCUGAUUCACCCUCUCCCUCUCCUGAUCCCCUUGUUUGUCUGUCAGUUAAUAAAUAAAAUCUUUGGAAAAAUAAAUAAACCAACCUUAAAAAAG